UCCCUGGUGGCCCAGUGGUUGAAACUCUGUGCUUCCAAUGCAGGGGGCUCAGGUUUGAUUCCUGAUUGGGGAA
rnacentral:tRNA from 1 species